UACAGCGGUCUCAAGCGUUGUUCGGAUUCAUUGGGCGUAAAGGGUGCGUAGGCGGCGCGGUAAGUCGGGUGUGAAAUCUUGGAGCUUAACUCCGAAACUGCAUUCGAUACUGCCGUGCUUGAGGACUGGAGAGGAGACUGGAAUUUACGGUGUAGCGGUGAAAUGCGUAGAUAUCGAGAGGAACACCGGCGGCGAAGGCGGCCAACUGGACGAACACUGACGCUGAGACACGAAAGCGUGGGGAGCAAACAGG
rnacentral:rRNA from 1 species